AAGGGGGUCCCGCCGCUUGCACACUCACCUGUAGCACCUGUCCUCCCCUUUGCACACUCACCAGUAGCCCCUGUCUGCCCCCUUUGCACACUCAUCUGUAGCGCCUGUCCCCCCCUUUGCACACUCACCCGUAGCCCCUACCCGCCCCUUUGCACACUCACCUGUAAGAGCUGCUUCCACUUCUCUUCCACGCGUACUUGCAAGAGGUGCCUUUCCCCGUGCACGCUCACCUCCAGAAGCUGCUCUUUCCCCCUGUCUUGCACACUCACCUGCAGCACAUGCCCCUCCCUCUUGCACACUCACCCACGGGGGCUGCCCUUCCCCCUCUUUCUGCAGGAGCUGCCUUCUCUCCCUUGCACACACACUCCCAGAGAGAGGCCAUGGGCUCACAAGCUUCAUAUAUUAGAUGCAUAGAAUUUCUGCUCCAUGAUGUGACUUUCCCUUGAAUUUUCUUUAAUUGUAAUAAUUUAUUUUGUAUGAGAGCUGGGAUGAGUGAACUGCAAUGCCUCCAUCUUUCUGGAAAUUUACAAAGCCAGCACAGAGUUGGGUCUCUUUUGUUGUUUGGAAAGUCAAGCACCUCAGGUGAUGUUAGACUGUGGAGUCUAUACACAACUCCUGCAAGCCCAGCUCCUUGGUGUCAGUUUAGACCCUCCAUGUUUCAUUCUGAAUUUUGGGUUCAACAGAAAACAAAAACUCAAAGAGAAACUCAACCAAAACUUCCAAAUUUUGCUUGAUUGUGAGUUGAAACUAUGAGUUUAGCAUGGCUUCCACCUGCAGCUGUAAAUGGGACCCAGGCCAACUUGAGACUUGAUCAGAGCUGGUGAACUUCAGCACAUGUUUCAGUGAGUCAGAGUUUCAACUUUAUACACACCUCCACUCUGAACUCAGGUGAGUUUUGCCUUGCUUGGACUUUAAGAUCAUUUUGCACAUUUUCAGUUGUGGCCACAGCAUUGUCAUUGCUCCUUUGCUAUUACAAGUAACAUUUCCGCAUUAUUUUUCCUGCCUUCAGUUUCGAUUGUCAGCUCCUCAGGGCAAAGAGUAAAUCAGGGUAAAUCAGGAGUUACCUACUCAAGUCAAUGGAGUUACACUAGUGAAAAAUGAAUGUGAUCUGUAAUAAAAUAAUAAGUGUGCAUUCUGCCUUGCCAGCUAUUUAAACAAGCCACACCAAAAAAUGUGCAAAUAAAUAAACAAUGCCACACGCUACAACAAAUUUAUAUUCCAGAUGCCUUCAAGACUUCUUAGAAAAGACCACAUGUGUUUUUCUAAAAACAUUUCUUUUGGCAGUUUGUUCCUGGAAGACCAGGGGCCUGAGAUGGCACAGGGGCUAAAUGAACAACUCCUGUGGUGAUAGUUACAAGGUUAGCUGCUGUUGUAAAGAUUUCUAGGGCGCUUGGCAAAAUAACAGAACAAAAUGUUAUUGAAUUAGGUCUCAGAUAAUUUUUGAGUGAUUUUGUUCUCAAGAGACAAAAUAUAUCACAAGUUAUUCGGCUCUUCCUAUCAUGCACAAAUAUAAAGUCCGUUAAUACUAGACCUUUGGGUCCAGACUUUCUCAAGGCCAGAUAUAUAUAUGUGUGUCCAUUUAGUUUCAGCCCUGUAAACAUUCCAGUCACUGUUCUAAAUGCUGGAGGGAUUUCAGAAAUGCUUCUUCCACUGUGUACUGGAAGGCUAAAAACAGAGGGCCAUAUUGUACCAUUGGUUUUUAAGCAGAACUCCCUAGGCGUUUUUUAGGUUCCACAAGAAUUGUGGUUAAAAAUGGUGGUACACACAGCUUUCUAUAUAACCUAAGAAUUAGGAGCCUGAUCAUCAGUUUGUGUAAAUCAGCAGUGGUGUGAUGCUGAAGAUGUGGUUCCUACACCAGAGUAAAUAUGUUGAUGCGGAGGAUAGGAGCAUAUUGUAACUUCGCUUGGGGCUUGUCUGCGCUACCAUUUACAUCAGCAAAAUUGAUGUCACUCGGGGUGUGGAAAAAACACCCGAGUGACAAGUUUCGCCAGCUGAGUCCUUGUGUGGUCCAUCACGGCAUAACUCACUAGUAGAUUUUUUUUUUUUUUUUUUUUUUGAGCGACUCAAUGGAUAGCAGGUUGGUAUCACUACUGUUGCAGGCUCAGUGGAAAUCUGGCUUGGAAUCACACACGGCCAACAUUGGAGCUAUAGAAUCUCUAUAAUUUAGGCCUCGUCCACACACACAAGUUGCCCUGCUUUAAAUAUGCUGGUAUUGUUAAAGCAGUACAAUCUCCCCCUAAGGGUGGACACGGGUAUGUGGGUAUAAAAGGAUUUAUACUGGUAUAGCUAUUGCUAUAUGGAAAGGGGAAUAAGCUAUACUGGUAUAAGGCAUCU